AUGAUUAGUGGAAAAUGGGAAGAUAGCUUCCAUCGUCUCUAUAGUUUCAAGGCUGAGGUGGAGAAGUGUUCUCCUGGUAGUGUAGUGGAAAUAGACAAAGAGACUGUGCAGUACACGAUCAAAGGAAAAGUGAGGGAGAAGGAAUGCUUUAGGAGGGUGUUUGUUUCAUUCAAGGCAUGUUGGCAAGGCUUUUUAAAUGGAUGUCGACCAUACUUGGCCGUAGACUCAACUGCACUAAAUGGGAGAUUCAAAGGGCAACUAGCUUCUGCUUGUGCCAUUGAUGGCCAUAAUUGGCUUUACCCAGUUGCAUAUGGGGUGCUAGAGACAGAAUCAUCUGAAAGUUGGGCUUGGUUUCUUCAAAAUCUGCGUGGGCUUAUUGGGCAUCCUGAAGGACUAGUCAUACACACUGACGCUUGCAAAGGUUUAGAGACAACAGUAGAACAAGUGUGGCCUGGAGUGGAGCAUAGGGAGUGUAUGAGGCAUCUUGCUACAAAUUUUCGAAAAAAAUUCAAGGGCAAGGUCUAUGAUGAUAAUAUUUGGGCUGCAAGCUUAACUUUCAGCUCUAGAAAGCACAAUUGGCAUAUGAAACAGAUCCUUGCUAAGAAGAGUGUCCAAAAAUAUAUGGCCGAACACCACACAAAGAUAUGGUAUAGAAGCAAGUUCAAUGAAAUCUACAAGGUUGACUACGUCAAUAACAACCUCGCAUAGUCAUUUAAUAGCAAAGUCAGGAAAGUUAAGGCUCUUCUUAUUGUUAACAUGUUGGACAAGAUUAGGCAGCUGAUAAUGGAGAAGUUUGAUCUGCGGAUGAGGAUAGCAUUAGAAAAAUGGCUUGGCCAUCUCAUAAUACCAACUGUGAUAAAGACACUGCAUGCCAAAUCCAAAGGGCUGAAGAUGAUGGUAAUUAGACGAAGUGAUGUUGAGGCAGAAAUUACUACAGUGGACAAAGAGAAUAGGGAAUGGAGGUACCAUGUUGACAUCGCAAAGGAAACAUGUAGCUGCAGGCAAUGGCAGGUCAAGGGUUUGCCAUGUAUCCAUGCCAUGUACUUUAUUACUUCACUACGAGGUCCGGUAUCAGAAAUUGAACCAUAUGUACAUGAGUUCUACUCCGUUGCAAAAUUUAAGGCUGCGUAUGCGGACAACAUACCUGCAAUGGUAGGCAAGCAACAAUGGGACAUUGUUAACCCUGGCUUCAAACUACAUGCUCCAGUGUUGUGGAGGCCAAAAGGCCGACCAAGGAAGACUAUAAUUAGAUCUAGUGCUGAAGGUGCUGGCGUGGGCGCUAGGAAAAGGAAGUGCAAGCGAUGCGGAGGCUUCGGGCACAUUGCCAGAUUGUGCACAAAUCCAGUUGACCCAGCAUUUGGAGAAGAUGAGGCUGACCUCCAAGCUAGGGAAGCCCUUUUGUGGCAGGAGAAGGUGACCCUAAACUAUCAAUGGUUGCAAGUUCUGCUAGGUAACACGAAAAGAACAUGUGCUUUUCUAUAUGUAUUUUCAACAUCCAUUUUCAUUCUUUUUUGCAACAUGACUAACUUCUAUACAACUCAAAGAAAAGUGUGA
rnacentral:rRNA from 1 species